UACAGAGGUCUCGAGCGUUAGGCGGAAUCACUGGGCUUAAAGCGUGUGUAGGCGGAUCGUUAAGUGCCUUGUGAAAUCCCACGGCUCAACCGUGGAACUGCUUGGCAUACUGGCGGCUCUUGAGCAACCUAGGGGCGAGCGGAACAAAUGGUGGAGCGGUGAAAUGCGUAGAUAUCCGGAGGAACACCGGUGGCGAAGGCGGCUUCCUGGACCGAUACUGACGCUGAGGCACGAAAGCGUGGGGAGCAAACAGG
rnacentral:rRNA from 1 species